CCCCNNANUAACUGCGAGUGAAGAGGGAAGAGCUCAAAUUUGUAAUCUGGCAGUCAUAUGGCUGUCCGAGUUGUAAGUUAGAGAAGUGACAUCCGUGCUGGCCUGCACAAAAGUCCCUUGGAAAAGGGCAUCAUAGAGGGUGACAAUCCCGUCUUUGGUGCAGACCACCAGUGCAUUUGUGAUGCGCUCUCAAUGAGUCGAGUUGUUUGGGAAUGCAGCUCCAAAUGGGUGGUAAAUUCCAUCUAAAGCUAAAUAUGGGCGAGAAACCGAUAGCGCACAAGUACCGUGAGGGAAAGAUGAAAAGGACUUUGAAAAGAGAGUUAAACAGUACGUGAAAUUGUUGAAAGGGAAACGCUUGAAGUCAGUCAUAUCCCUCAGAAAUCAACCCACCCAUUGGGUCAGGUGCAUUUUCUGUGUUGGAUGGGUCAGCAUCAAUUUUGACCAUUGGAUAAAGGGCUUGGGAAUGUGGCAUCUCCGGAUGUGUUAUGACCAUGUCUGCAUACAAUGGUUGGGUUGAGGAACUCAGGAUGCUGGCAUAAUGGCUUUAAUCGACCCGCUACCCCCCGCGCNCCCCCACCCNANCUGNNCCCCGUAAAAAAACACGGAAGCUUGGAACAAAAAAAUUCUGGGGCUGGUUUACAAAAAGGGGGGUAACGGAAAGAGGAUAUAACUCAAAUCCCCCUUUCAAAAAAUCCGAAAAAAAGGGGUUUCCUUUGGCCCCCCCUGAAAAACCCGGCCAAAAAGUGGUCAAUUUGAUGGGUACCCUUCCCCUAGAACUUGCCCCUACCCGUGGGGGGGCAAGAUUAUUUAAGGAAAUUAGACAACUUGGGGACUUCCAGAAAUUUCUCCACGAAGUAUAACCCCCGCAAAAGCCUUUUACCCUAUCCCCUCGUCUUUGGGUCU
rnacentral:rRNA from 1 species